AGGAUAGAAACCCCACUCAAUGUUCGCAGUGGGCAGUCCAUUACGAACUAUGUCAUAAAAACCCCGAAGCGAUGUUCAGGGAGUGCCCUGUUUCCUGCGGUGCUUGUUAAUUAAAGGCGAUAAGGUAGCUUGGCAACAAAACCGACCGUGCCACACACUUCCCAAAAAAAUGGAAACAUGUUAAUCAUUGUAACUCUGGGUAGCAUUUAACAAUAAACUGAUAACAAUAAAAGAUGGGAAAAGUGAAGGUGA